CCAAUAGCGUAUAUUAAAGUUGUUGCAGUUAAAAAGCUCGUAGUUGAAUUUCGGGAUCAGUAGGUCGGUCGUGCCACUGGUAUGAACUGGUCUCACUGGUUCCUCCCUCUUGACGAACUGCAAUGCUAUUAAUUUAGUGUUGUAGGAAAUCAGGACUGUUACUUUGAAAAAAUUAGAGUGUUUAAAGCAGUCUUUGGCUUGAAUACAUUAGCAUGGAAUAAUGAAAUAGGACGUUCAAUCCUAUUUUGUUGGCUUCUAGGAUUGACGUAAUGAUUAAUAGGGACAGUUGGGGGCAUUAGUAUUCAAUUGUCAGAGGUGAAAUUCUUGGAUUUAUUGAAGACUAACUACUGCGAAAGCAUUUGCCAAGGAUGUUUUCAUUAAUCAAGAACGAAAGUUAGGGGAUCGAAGACGAUCAGAUACCGUCGUAGUCUUAACCAUAAACUAUGCCGACUAGGAAUCAGACGAUGUUAAUUUUUUAAUGACUCGUUUGGCACCUUACG
rnacentral:misc_RNA from 1 species